GACGAACCGUGCGAACGUUGUUCGGAAUCACUGGGCUUAAAGGGCGCGUAGGCGGGCUGCCAAGUCUGGGGUGAAAUCCCGCGGCUCAACCGUGGAAUGGCCUCAGAUACUGACGGCCUCGAGGAAGGUAGGGGCAUGCGGAACUGUAGGUGGAGCGGUGAAAUGCGUUGAUAUCUACAGGAACUCCGGUGGCGAAAGCGGCGUGCUGGACCUUUUCUGACGCUGAGGCGCGAAAGCUAGGGGAGCAAACGGG
rnacentral:rRNA from 1 species